UACGUAGGGGGGCAAGCGUUGUCCGGAAUCAUUGGGCGUAAAGCGCGUGUAGGCGGCCAGAUAAGUCCGCUGUGAAAUCUCGAGGCUCAACUUCGAGCUGUCGGUGGAAACUGUCUGGCUAGAGUCCGGAAGAGGAGAAUGGAAUUCCUGGUGUAGCGGUGAAAUGCGCAGAUAUCAGGAAGAACACCCGUGGCGAAGGCGGUUCUCUGGGACGGUACUGACGCUGAGACGCGAAAAGCGUGGGGGAGCGAACAGG
rnacentral:rRNA from 1 species